GGAAUAUUGGUCAAUGGCCGGAAGGCUGAACCAGCCAAGUAGCGUGCAGGAUGACGGCCCUAUGGGUUGUAAACUGCUUUUGUACGGGAAUAACGGUAGGCUCGUGAGCCUAUGUGCAUGUACCGUACGAAUAAGGAUCGGCUAACUCCGUGCCAGCAGCCGCGGUAAUACGGAGGAUCCGAGCGUUAUCCGGAUUUAUUGGGUUUAAAGGGAGCGUAGGCGGAGGAUCAAGUCAGUUGUGAAAUGUAGGCGCUCAACGCCUGCACUGCAGUUGAAACUGGUUCCCUUGAGUGCGUAAGAGGCAGGCGGAAUUCGUCGUGUAGCGGUGAAAUGCUUAGAUAUGACGAAGAACUCCGAUCGCGAAGGCAGCUUGCCGGGCCGCAACUGACGCUGAAGCUCGAAGGUGCGGGUAUCGAACA
rnacentral:rRNA from 1 species